rnacentral:rRNA from 1 species
AGCCUGCCCAGUGACUUUGUUCAACGGCCUCGGUACCCUGACCGCGCGAAGGUAGCAUAAUAACUUGUUCUUUAAAUAGGGACUAGUAUCAACGGCAUCACGAGGGUUACCCUGUCUCCUUUCUCUAAUCAGUGAACCUGACCUCUUCGUGAAGAGGCGAAGAUACAACUAUAAGACGAGAAGACCCCAUGGAGCUUAAAACACAGAAACAAUUUUUUACUAUAGACCAUAAAAAAUAAAAAAUUUUGUUAGCUAGUUUUCGGCUGGGGUGCCCAAGGAGAAUAACCCAACCUCCCUGACGACCACUAUCCAAGAGCAACAGCUCGAAGAAACAAAAAAUUGACGUAAAAUGACCCGAUUUAACAAUCGAUCAACGAACCAAGUUACCCUGGGGAUAACAGCGCAAUCCAUUUCAAGAGCUCCUAUCGACAAAUGGGUUUACGACCUCGAUGUUGGAUCAG